rnacentral:rRNA from 1 species
AGCGAACGCUGGCGGCAGGCCUAACACAUGCAAGUCGAACGAACUCUUCGGAGUUAGUGGCGGACGGGUGAGUAACACGUGGGAACGUGCCUUUAGGUUCGGAAUAACUCAGGGAAACUUGUGCUAAUACCGAAUGUGCCCUUCGGGGGAAAGAUUUAUCGCCUUUAGAGCGGCCCGCGUCUGAUUAGCUAGUUGGUGAGGUAAAGGCUCACCAAGGCGACGAUCAGUAGCUGGUCUGAGAGGAUGAUCAGCCACAUUGGGACUGAGACACGGCCCAAACUCCUACGGGAGGCAGCAGUGGGGAAUCUUGCGCAAUGGGCGAAAGCCUGACGCAGCCAUGCCGCGUGAAUGAUGAAGGUCUUAGGAUUGUAAAAUUCCUUCACCGGGGACGAUAAUGACGGUACCCGGAGAAGAAGCCCCGGCUAACUUCGU